GACGAACGCUGGCGGCGUGCCUAAUACAUGCAAGUAGAACGCUGAAGGAGGAGCUUGCUCUUCUGGAUGAGUUGCGAACGGGUGAGUAACGCGUAGGUAACCUGCCUGGUAGUGGGGGAUAACUAUUGGAAACGAUAGCUAAUACCGCAUAAUAACAGUUGUUGCAUGACAACUGUUUGAAAGGUGCAAUUGCAUCACUACCAGAUGGACCUGCGUUGUAUUAGCUAGUUGGUGGGGUAACGGCUCACCAAGGCGACGAUACAUAGCCGACCUGAGAGGGUGAUCGGCCACACUGGGACUGAGACACGGCCCAGACUCCUACGGGAGGCAGCAGUAGGGAAUCUUCGGCAAUGGACGAAAGUCUGACCGAGCAACGCCGCGUGAGUGAAGAAGGUUUUCGGAUCGUAAAGCUCUGUUGUAAGAGAAGAACGAGUGUGAGAGUGGAAAGUUCACGCG
rnacentral:rRNA from 1 species